CGAAAUGCGAUAAGUAGUGUGAAUUGCAGAAUUCAGUGAAUCAUCGAAUCUUUGAACGCACAUUGCGCCUUCCGGCAUUCCGGGAGGCAUGCCUGUCCGAACGUCAUCAAGCCCCUCGCCCGCCCCCGUUGCUCGCAACGGGGGCCAAGGCGGUUCCUGGCAGAUGGGCCGCGCAAGCGCGCCCACCGCUGAAUUCCAUCGGCAGACCCUUCACGGCUGUGAUUGUGAUAAGAACUUACUUACAAUCGACUGUCUGAAUGGCGUCUGGCCGCAAUCUGCCUGCAGACCCUCCACGGGGACCCUGCGGCGUCACCAAAUCUUUUGACUUCGGAUCAGGUAGGGAUACCCGCUGAACUUAAGC
rnacentral:misc_RNA from 1 species